GGGUGAGUAAUGCCUAGGAAUCUGCCUGGUAGUGGGGGACAACGUCUCGAAAGGGACGCUAAUACCGCAUACGUCCUACGGGAGAAAGCAGGGGACCUUCGGGCCUUGCGCUAUCAGAUGAGCCUAGGUCGGAUUAGUUAGUUGGUGAGGUAAUGGCUCACCAAGGCGACGAUCCGUAACUGGUCUGAGAGGAUGAUCAGUCACACUGGAACUGAGACACGGUCCAGACUCCUACGGGAGGCAGCAGUGGGGAAUAUUGGACAAUGGGCGAAAGCCUGAUCCAGCCAUGCCGCGUGUGUGAAGAAGGUCUUCGGAUUGUAAAGCACUUUAAGUUGGGAGGAAGGGCAGUAAGCGAAUACCUUGCUGUUUUGACGUUACCGACAGAAUAAGCACCGGCUAACUCUGUGCCAGCAGCCGCGGUAAUACAGAGGGUGCAAGCGUUAAUCGGAAUUACUGGGCGUAAAGCGCGCGUAGGUGGUUUGUUAAGUUGAAUGUGAAAUCCCCGGGCUCAACCUGGGAACUGCAUCCAAAACUGGCAAGCUAGAGUAGGGCAGAGGGUGGUGGAAUUUCCUGUGUAGCGGUGAAAUGCGUAGAUAUAGGAAGGAACACCAGUGGCGAAGGCGACCACCUGGGCUCAUACUGACACUGAGGUGCGAAAGCGUGGGGAGCAAACAGGAUUAGAUACCCUGGUAGUCCACGCCGUAAACGAUGUCAACUAGCCGUUGGAAGCCUUGAGCUUUUAGUGGCGCAGCUAACGCAUUAAGUUGACCGCCUGGGGAGUACGGCCGCAAGGUUAAAACUCAAAUGAAUUGACGGGGGCCCCACAAGCUGUGGAGCAUGUGGUUUAAUUCGAAGCAACGCGAAGAACCUUACCAGGCCUUGACAUCCAAUGAACUUUCCAGAGAUGGAUUGGUGCCUUCGGGAACAUUGAGACAGGUGCUGCGUGGCUGUCGUCAGCUCGUGUCGUGAGAUGUUGGGUUAAGUCCCGUAACGAGCGCAACCCUUGUCCUUAGUUACCAGCACAUUAUGGUGGGCACUCUAAGGAGACUGCCGGUGACAAACCGGAGGAAGGUGGGGAUGACGUCAAGUCAUCAUGGCCCUUACGGCCUGGGCUACACACGUGCUACAAUGGUCGGUACAGAGGGUUGCCAAGCCGCGAGGUGGAGCUAAUCCCAGAAAACCGAUCGUAGUCCGGAUCGCAGUCUGCAACUCGACUGCGUGAAGUCGGAAUCGCUAGUAAUCGCGAAUCAGAAUGUCGCGGUGAAUACGUUCCCGGGCCUUGUACACACCGCCCGUCACACCAUGGGAGUGGGUUGCACCAGAAGUAGCUAGUCUAACCUUCGGGAGGACGGUUACCACGGUGUGAUUCAUGACUGGGGUGAAGUCGUAACAAGGUA
rnacentral:rRNA from 1 species